rnacentral:rRNA from 1 species
AGAUUGAACGCUGGCGGCGUGCCUAACACAUGCAAGUCGAGCGGUAGCAGGUGUAGCAAUACAUGCUGACGAGCGGCGAACGGGUGAGUAAUGCAUCGGAACGUAUCCUUGAGUGGGGGAUAACGCAGCGAAAGUUGUGCUAAUACCGCAUAAGCUCUGAGGAGGAAAGCGGGGGAUCGUAAGACCUCGCGCUGGUGGAUGAGCCUACGUCCGAUUAGUUAGUUGGUGGGGUAAAGGCCUACCAAGGCUACGAUCGGUAGCUGGUCUGAGAGGACGACCAGCCACACUGGGACUGAGACACGGCCCAGACUCCUACGGGAGGCAGC